GCUCGCGUAGUAUAAGGGAUAGUAUAGUCGGGUGCGGUCCGGCAGAUCGGGGUUCGAUUCCUCGCGUGAGCG
rnacentral:tRNA from 1 species